rnacentral:tRNA from 1 species
UCCCUGGUGGUUCAGUGGUUAAGAAUCCACCUGCCAAUGGAGGGGACACAGGUUCAAUUCCUGGUCGGGGAA